GAUGAAGAACGCAGCAAAAUGCGAUAAGUAAUGUGAAUUGCAGAAUUCAGUGAAUCAUCGAAUCUUUGAACGCACAUUGCGCCCGCCAGCAUCCUGGCGGGCAUGCCUGUCCGAGCGUCAUUUCAACCCUCAGGUCCCCCUUUUCGGAGGGGGAGACACCCUGGUGUUGGGGGACGGCCUGGCCUUCUGCGCCGCGCCGCCCCCGAAAUGAAUUGGCGGCCUCGUCGCGUGCCACCCCUGCGUAGUAGCACAACCUCGCAACGGGAGCCCGACGCGGCCACUGCCGUAAAACGCCCAACUUUUAAGAGUUGACCUCGAAUCAGGUAGGAAUACCCGCUGAACUUAAGCAUAUCAAUAAGCGGAGGA
rnacentral:misc_RNA from 1 species